CCCUUAGAUGUCCGGGGCUGCACGCGCGCUACACUGAGGGAAUCAGCGUGCUAGAAAACCUUGUUUGACAUGGCUAGGUAACCCGUUGAAAAUCUUUCGUGAUUGGGAUCGGGACUUGCAAAUGUGUCCCUUGAACGAGGAAUUCCCAGUAAGUGCGGGUCAUAAGCUCGCGCUGAUUACGUCCCUGCCCUUUGUACACACCGCCCGUCGCACCUACCGAUUGAAUGUUUCGGUGAAGAUUCCGGAUAGGACUUUUUUGAUUUAUUUCAAUUUUGUCUUAAAAGCUAUCUAAACCUCAACAUUUAGAGGAAGGUGAAGUCGUAACA
rnacentral:rRNA from 1 species